GCUAGCGUAGCUUAAUCAAAGCGUAACAUUGAAGAUGUUAAGACGAAUCGUAAAAAGUUCCGUAAGCAU
rnacentral:tRNA from 1 species